AAAAAAAUAAAAAAUAAAAAGCAGAAGAAACAAACAAUAGGUACAUUCCUAUAGAGACAAAUUUCUCAUACCACAAAGACUAAUUGCAAUAAAGUUCCAUCUGAACAAAAGAAAAAGUGGCAACCCACUCAAGAAUUAAGACUUAAAAAAAUAAUUGGAGUUUAUCUACAUGGUUAACCAAUAAAAGAGAUUCUGAAAGAGAAAAAAUCAAAUAUCAAUCUCAAAAUACUGCAACAAUGAACAUAAUAAAAAACUGCAGCAAUAAACAAAAAUGAACAAUAAAGAAUAAAAACAAAUCCCGCCUUAACAACACCUAUUUUUUUCAAAUUCCAAGUAGCACCAUCAAUCUCGGUUUCAGUUUUUAGCACAAGUCAGGAAAUCAUAGCAUAACAAUCAUAGCAAGCACAAUAUCAUCCCAUAACAAAUCACAACACUAUUAAUCUUUUUACCCAACAUCGUCAUAUAACUUCCACAACUUUGCUUUCUUUCAAUAAAGUGCUUAGCAUCACCAAUUACAGAAUCAGUAUUCAACAAGGAGAAGAAUAGCACCAAUUUUAAAUAGCCGUAAAAGAAUCAAUCAAACAUUCAUUUUGAUGGCAAACUAAUCAGUGGUCAUUAACAAGCAAACUGCCAAACACGAAGCUAAUUUAAGUGACAACAAAUAGAAUAUAAAUCACAGAACUAACUUUGUAGAGCAUGUAGUCUGCAAACUGUGAUACCAAACAAUGGAUACCCAAAUGAAAAUGGCUGGACGAGGUGUAGCACUAUCAAAAAUAUUGACAAGCGUGGUGCUGAAGGGAAGAGUUGGGCACUCCAAAUGACUCUUGUCCCUUGUUAUUGUCGAUGAAGAGCUUCAUCCAGAUUGGGUGGCAAAAUCGCAUCUAAAUGGGUCUAUUAGUGAAUGGGUGACUUUGAGAAUGUUGAGCCUGGGUUUCAAAUUUUAUGUGAUGCAUGAGUUUUGCGAUUGCCUAAUUAGCAUUGUGAAAUGGGAAGUGAGGCACUUUUUGGAAGGAAUGUAGGUGAUUGUGAAGUGGGAUUUGUAGAUGUGAAAACAGGGAAGGAAGACUGCUGUGCGUGAGUUGCUUCUAAAAGAGAAAGUGGGCGGAGAGUCAUCGUUUUGAGAGUUUCAAAGACUCUCUCUUUUUUUCAUACUUGCCUUUCUUAAAAUUGCGCCCCCCUCCUUUUGAAUAGAGAAAAAUGGUAUUUAUAAAGAAGUAAAACCCUAAAAGAAAGGGUCAAAAUUUAAGAUGCCAA
rnacentral:misc_RNA from 1 species